rnacentral:rRNA from 1 species
UACGGAGGAUCCAAGCGUUAUCCGGAUUUAUUGGGUUUAAAGGGUGCGUAGGCGGAAUUGUAAGUCAGUGGUGAAAGCCCUUCGCUUAACGAAGGAACUGCCAUUGAUACUGCAAAUCUUGAGUACAUUUGAUGUGGGCGGAAUGUGUCAUGUAGCGGUGAAAUGCUUAGAUAUGACACAGAACACCGAUUGCGAAGGCAGCUCACAAAACUGUA